CUCUGUUGUCUCCCUCCCCCAGGUGAUCCCAAUGCCCAUGAUUGUCCGGGUGCGCUUGAUGCGCGCUCCAGCGCCGCCGUGCUGAACGGCACAUACCUCCCUCGAACUACCUGUCCGCGGAGAGGGCGCUGUUCCCGGUGCUGGCGUAGUUCGACCCCCCUCCAGUUAGAGCGGGGUUGCCCCAAAAUAUAUGGGCCGUUCAGGAUGCUGCCAAGUUACGGUUGCAAUGGAGACGGUAUCUCGCAGAGCGCUCAGAGAGCAGAUGUUCUCGUAUGAGGGAGCCGGACAGUACGUUGGAGUCCUCCACUGUUUGGCAGUGUCGUGUCUCCCAAACGCAGGGCUGUUGUGUCUUAUUUGACAUAUCUUCCUGUUUCACAGGUUAAAGACUUUUUGAAGUAAAGAGGAGCAUCUCAUCUGAACCUGAUGUCUAUCAUGGAUAUUUAACUGCAGUUCUGUGAGUAUCCCAACUUAACCAUGAAGAUGAACUGCAAACUGUAAGUCAUUAAUUUCUCAUUACUCUUGGGCACAUUGUUGUAUUUUGGCUUCCUGGUGAGUUAACCCGUUACCUGAAGGUUGAUCUGAGUGGUAAGGAUGUUUUAUUGGUUCAUGGGUUACUUAGGUGUUUGGUUUAUGUUGGUUUUAAUGAUUUGUUAAAAUGGUUACAGGCUCCCAAGUUAUUGUUGUAAGCUGGAGUAAUGGGUUGGGUUCUGAUAUCUUCAGUCUUCUUUCCAGCUACUCUCCUGAGCUCUGCAUCUUCAUCACAUGAGUGUUGCUCUACUGUGAGGCUGUGGUCUGAGUGAGCAGAAGUGCAUACUGGGAUACAGAGCUGUCUCGAGUCUACAGGUCCGUAGACGCGCGCCCUCAGGGGAAACCGAGUGUUUGAGAAACCGUUGUUACGUCAGUUACAUGGACUGGAAUGUUCUUUAAGAUGGAGACAGGGAUUCAGAAGGAGAAACGCCAGGGGGAGAUGAGGGGGCUCUUCAUCUCAACGACUAAAACACAACUUCAGUCUGACACAGAGAACCAUGGAACACAUUCAACAGUCCCCUCCAGCCAUCGUGACUCCUCAGGAACAGUUUCAUUUCCAAGAAGGUCUUAUUUGGGGCCAUCCCCAUAUGGAUCCUGCUCCUCAAGAGCCACCCCCCUCCACUGGGUGGUCUUCUGAACAGAUGACCUUCCUGUCCUCAGGCUGACUAAAGCUGCACCGUUUGCAUCUGUGAAGGCCCCUCAUUCAGGAAACCACUGGACUACAAAGACAUGACUUCAGAGACGUUGAAUCACCUUGGGACACAUUUUGGAGACGCCAAGCAUAAUCCAUCACCAAUGUGGGACGCCACUGAAAAAUGUUGCACAUAAUUUACUUCUCUGGAGACAUUGGUUGUUCUGUUCUGGGUGCCCUGGCAGGAGAUGUGUGUGUGUGUGUGUGUGUCAUCGCUAGGGUUCUACUGUGUGACUCACACCUGGCAUGGGGUUCUAUGUGCGUGUCCUGGAUUCUAUGUGUGUGUGUGUCCGGCUUGCUUUGACCGUAAUAAUGUUCAUACAGGGUUCUGUGUGAUUUGGCUUGGGAUAUUGGAAUGGUCAAUUAAAUCAUACCUGAUGGCCGGCCACACGUUUACUUAAGGGCCUCCAGUAGACAUGAAGAGCCCUGAGCGACGCUCCGGAGCGAUAUCAACACACUGGGCAGGAAGGAGAGUAUCCAACUCAAGUGUAAAAGGAUGCAAGCGACGUGUUCAGAUCAGUGACUUCAAACUAGGACCAAUCAGGAUCAAUGGAGGAUGGACACCAAAAGGAAUUCCCAAUCAGGAUCAAUGGAGGAUGGACACCAAAAGGAAUUCCCAAAGGAGAGUCUGACGUUGGAAAGGGACCUAAAUGGAUAUUCAAGAUAACCUUCAGACCUGUAAUGAGACGGCUCUUCCUACCUGGCUGGAUUGAUGGAGAGCGCUGUGGACCUUGUCUUGCUCUCAGUUGCAUUUCUUCUCAGGCUGAACUGUAUUUGUUUCGGACAGGACUAGCUGAACGAUUGGUUCCCUUAAAUCAGAACCAAUCUGGGAACUCCAACUAGUGCGCUCUUCGAGCUGAAGUUGUGCUCUUCAGCUGAGGUAAGGAAACCUUCCCUGAGGUUUCAAGGUGUAAAGAGGAGGAUGUUUCAAAGUGUUCCAUGGUACUCUGCUGAGGACCGUUGUUGUGUUCCACUGGCUGGGAGGAAGAACCCUCACAUCUUCCUCUUGGCCUUUCUCCUCUGAGAAUCCUGGCGCCAUCUUGAAGGAUUUUCCAGCUCAUGCAACUGAUGUCACGACAGAUUCUCAAACACUUGGUUUCUCCUGAGGGGCGUGUCUAUAGAACUGAAGACUUGAGACGGCACUGUAUCCCAGCAUGCAUCUCUGCUCACUCAGACCACACCCCCAUGAGUAGGAUGCAACAUUCUAGGGAUGGAGAUGUAGAGUUUUAUAAGUAACGAGGGAGCAGACAAAGGUGUUUAGAACACAAUGGCAUGUCAAGUCUGUAAAUCUCUAAACCAUGAAGAUGAUUGGAUAGUUCAGGAAUUGGGCUUCUAUUUAUUAUGAGCAGUCCUUUCGCUCAGAUGCCCACUUCUCACUAGACCUGUACAUGUGUUGGCUGGCUGGCAUGAUUUGCUGUUGGUGAUGAGGCGGUCAAGGUGACGUUGCAGGGCUUAUGGUCGGCUCUCUGUGAGCUCAACGUUUAGAUUUGCUCUGUAUGGUUUGUACCCUGAAUAAUCUACAUAAGUGUAAAAUGUAGACGCGGUUUUGUAUUGAAUGAUUCCAUUGUUCUUAGGCAAGGAUUUGAGGUUUAAAGUUGUUGUGGGACGUACAUGGUAGUUUGGUUCUUUGUACGGUUUUGAGUGAUAUAACAUGUACACACUGGGUGCAUAAUAAUCUAAAGGUACCAACAGCAACAAACGGAUCUCCUCAAGGUAAGUCUGUUGGCUGUGUUUUAAUGAAGACCAUCGCUGGACUUCAGGAUCUUCCUCCGUUCAGCUCAAGGUGAGGCGCUGGUUCUGUUUUUUCUUUGGUUGGUUCCGGCCGGAAUGUUCGGAUUCCGGUCGGACGGUUUGUGCUUCCCGCCGUGGAACUUUCUGAGUGGUCACUUUAUUUAGUCCCAAUGGUUAGCAUAGAACGUUGUAGUCUUGAUAAACAUUAGAAGCCACCUGGCAGUUAGUUGGAGCGGAGUCCCCUGAGGGAAUCUGGCAGAACGUUCUGGAUUGUAUUUGCGUAACCUCGAGCCGCUGCCAACGGAAACAAUUUUUCAGUCGGUUUCCAUUUGGAAUUGUUGCCCCUUAUCUUAAACAACUUUAAGUUUGAUAUUAAAUAAUAAAUUUAAUUUAAAGGGCGCCUUUCAAGACAUCCAAGGUCACCUUACAGAGCAUAAAGUUAUCAUAAAUCGUUUAAAAACAAGACAUUGUUGAAAAAUAAUAAUGGAUAAAUAAAACAAAAACAAGACGAAACAAACAAUGAAGACAGUGAUCAGUUAGACGUAAAUACAUACUGACACGUACGUCGUACAAUAUCUUGAUAAUUUUCGAUGGUUGCGCCGUACUUCUAACCACGUUGACGGGACUCGCGCUGCGUACGAAACGGCCUUCUACUUGCGGGCCCAUUUUUGACAUCAGUGAAGGCUGUAAAUCAUUUCAAGCUGGAAGACAUUUUGACAGUUCUUCAACGGAACCCAACACCUGAAUAUGGCUGAGUAAAUUUGUUUUAAUAUCGAUACUGCUUAGUGUUUGUUACUUCAGCUUUUGUACGUUCUAAAUAUCUGCGGCCAUUAAUUGCCGCAGAAGUUAAACCCUACCCAAUGGAAUGACGUUAAACAACGACUUUGUUGCAGAGUUACCAACUGGAUAAUAUCAAAGCUAAAAUAAUGGCAGUUUUUCUCACGUUACAGUAGAAGAUUAUCCAGAACUGUACAAGGUUAAAAAGGUAACAUGUAGUUUGUCCCAAGGUGUCUGCCUCCUCACCCAGAGCCAGACCUCCACCUCCUCACCCAGAGCCAGACCUCCACCUCCUGUCAGAAGACCUCCAGAACAGUAUCUGAAAGGCGAGGCUGAGAGGCUGGGGACCGAGGCUUGUGGUGCCAGGAUGGACCGGAGACUGAGGCUGGAGACCAGGGGCCUGCAGCACCGGACCAGAGGACCAGGAAUCCAUGUCUGGAGGAGCCGUGCUGAUGGAGGAGCCGUGCUGAAGGAGCUGAUGGAGGAGCCCUGCUGAAGGCCCUGCCUGGUGGAGGAGCUGGUGGAGGCCCUGCCUGGUGAAGGACGUCUGUCGUGGGACCAGGACUCUGUCUGAGGAGAGCUGCUGGAGGAGCUGAGACGCUGGAGGACGCCUAGGAAUCGACCAACAAGGAUUCCUCAACGUGUUUCUGGAGCGGAGGUGAGCUGGUAGGGGAGCCGUGAAUCUGGAGGAUGAACAUCAGUCUACCAACAAGGAUUGGAAGUUUGUAUUAACCUAACAAAGUGGAAAUAAAGGGCUUUAAAAUAAGACGAACUACAUAUUUGUUUACAGACGUUGGGGCCCUGUUUGUUCCAGACCAGGACUCUGACCAGGCUGAGGAGAGCUGAUGGGGGAGCCAAGACUCUGGAGGACGACAUCACUCCACCAACCAGGAUCCUCACCAGGAAUCUGGAGGACUGAUGGAGAAGCCGUACAUCUGAAGGCAAAUCCUGAGGACAACCAGGACUCUGCCAUCAAGGAUUCCUCACACACCUGAGCUGAACCCCAACUGAACCUGACAUCCUGCUGGUCCCGUCUCCUCAGUUCAUCUUAGCCUCCUCUUCCAGAAGACCUGCUGAGCUCAGCAGUCUGAGGCUGAUGUAUCAAUGACCUCCAGUGGGAGUGAUCUUCUUGACCCCACAUGUAAUCGUGUGCUUCCACACGCCUUUCCCUCACGUCUGUCACUAACCUCACUACUUCACUACUCUCUACUGCUUCCUCUUCUUCCUUCUCUGUGGUUCGAACCUUUACACUGAAGGCGCGUCUUCCUGCCCUCAGAGGGUUCAGCGUUAGGGUUGAGAGUCAGGGUUUAGAGUCAGGGACAGAGCUGGUCAGGGAGGACUGCUUUAACACAAACCUCUUCACUUGCUUUCGGAAUGGUGGUGACAUUUUGAAAAGAUUCAUUUGGGAAAAUGUUUUCCUCUGCUUCCCUUUACAAAAUUGUAUUAAACUUCUGUCAAGUGCGUUUGUUUAUAUAUUAAAAUCUGUUUUACCACAUGUUGAAGCAAGACUUCCGCUGUUUGUUCCAGACCAGGACUCUUUCUGAGGAGAGCUGCUGGAGGAGCUUAGACGCUGGAGGAUGACUAGGAAUCGACCAACAAGGAUUCCUCAACGUGUUUCUGGAGCGGAGGUGAGCUGGUUGGGGAGCCGUGAAUCUGGAGGAUGACCAUCAGUCUACCAACAAGGAUUGGAAGUUUGUAUUUACCUAACAAAGUGGAAAUAAAGGGCUUUAAAAUAAGACAAACUACAUAUUUGUUUCCAGACGUUGGGGCCCUGUUUGCUUUUGUUCCAGACCAGGACCUGGCUGAGGAGAGCUGAUGGGGGAGCCAAGACUCUGGAGGACGACAUCACUCCACCAACCAGGAUCCUCACCAGGAAUCUGGAGGACUGAUGGAGAAGCCGUACAUCUGGAAGGCAAAUCCUGAGGACAACCAGGACUCUACCAUCAAGGAUUCCUCACACACCUGAGCUGAACCUCACCUGAUCCUGACAUCCUGCUGGUCCCGUCUCCUCAGUUCAUCUUAGCCUCGUCCUCCAGAAGACCUGCUGAGCUCAGCAGUCUGAGGCUGAUGUAUCAAUGACCUCCAGUGGGAGUGAUCUUCUUGACCCCACAUGUAAUCGUGUGCUUCCACACGCCUUUCCCUCACGUCUGUCACUAACCUCACUACUUCACUACUCUCUACUGCUUCUUCUUCUUCUUCCUCUGUGGUUCGAACCUUUACACGGAAGGCGCGUCUUCCUGCCCUCAGAGGGUUCAGCGUUAGGGUUGAGAGUCAGGGUUUAGAGUCAGGGACAGAGCUGGUCAGGGAGGACUGCUUUAACACAAACCUCUUCACUUGCUUUCGGAAUGGUGGUGACAUUUUGAAAAGAUUCAUUUGGGAAAAUGUUUUCCUCUGCUUCCCUUUACAAAAUUGUAUUAAACUUCUGUCAAGUGCUUUUGUUUAUAUAUUAAAAUUCCACAUUGAAUUCUACAUGUUUGGUGCGGUUCAUUUAAUUGUCCUUUAACUUGGUUAAUGUAAAGCUAAACUCCUGCGAUACAUUUAAUAUACAUGAUUGUUAAUCAGCAAUGCUCACAUAAUCCAUUUUGUAAAAAUAUGAAACCUCCAUAUUACUACUAAAUUCAUGUAUUUAACAAUGUACAUACUGCCCCGCAGGCCAUUCUCUGCUACUACAACACG
ensembl:lncRNA